rnacentral:rRNA from 1 species
AUUGAACGCUGGCGGCAGGCCUAACACAUGCAAGUCGAACGAGUGGCGGACGGGUGAGUAAUGUCUGGGAAACUGCCUGAUGGAGGGGGAUAACUACUGGAAACGGUAGCUAAUACCGCAUACCAUAAGCUGUGGCAAGAGUGGAUUAGCUGGUUGGUGGGGUAACGGCUCACCAAGGCGAAGAUCCCUAGCUGGUCUGAGAGGAUGACCGGCCACACUGGAACUGAGACACGGUCCAGACUCCUACGGGAGGCAGCAGUGGGGAAUAUUGCACAAUGGGCGCAAGCCUGAUGCAGCCAUGCCGCGUGUAUGAAGAAGGCUUUCGGGUUGUAAAGUACUUUCAUCGGGGAGGCGUUACCCGCAGAAGAAGCACCGGCUAACUCCGUGCCAGCAGCCGCGGUAAUAC